rnacentral:rRNA from 1 species
UCAAGCUACUAAGGGCGCAUGAUGGAUGCCUUGGCACUAACAGGCGAUGAAGGACGUGAUAAGCUGCGAUAAGCGUCGGGAAGGGGCAAAUACCUUUAGAUCCGGCGAUUUCCGAAUGGGGCAACCCUUUAUACUGGGCACUGAAUACAUAGGUGUCUAGAGCGAUACCCAGGGAAGUGAAACAUCUCAGUACCUGGAGGAGAAGAAAUCAACCGAGAUUCCGCUAGUAGUGGCGAGCGAACGCGGAUCAGCCUAAACCGAUCAGUUUACUGGUCGGGGUUGCGGGACCGAUAAUGUGGUAGUGUGAUGGAUAGUUGAAUCUUGCUGGAAAGCAGAACCAUAGACGGUGACAGUCCGGUAAACAAAAUCUUGAUCACACCUAUUCGGCACCCAAGUAGGUCGGCACACGUGAAACGCUGACUGAAUCCGGGGGGCCCACCCUCCAAGGCUAAAUACUCGUUAGUGACCGAUAGUGAACCAGUACCGUGAGGGAAAGGUGAAAAGAACCCUUGACAGGGAGUGAAAGAGAACCUGAAAUCAUGCGCUUACAAACUGUAGGAGCCCUUUACGGGGUGACUGCAUGCCUUUUGCAUAAUGAGCCUGCGAGUUACUGUUCUUGGCAAGGUUAAGCCUUAGGGUGUAGCCGAAGCGAAAGCGAGUGUGAAUAGCGCGUCUAGUCAAUGGCAGUAGACCCGAAACCAAGUGAUCUAUCCAUGGGCAGGAUGAACCUCUGGUAACACAGAGUGGAGGUCCGAACCAGUACGUGCUGAAAAACGUUUGGAUGACCUGUGGAUAGGGGUGAAAGGCCAAUCAAACUUGGUGAUAGCUGGUUCUUUCCGAAAUAGCUUUAGGGCUAGCCUCAUGUAAUAGCAUACGGGGGUAGAGCACUGAUUACGCGCGGGCCCCUACCGGGGUACUAAUCGUUAUCAAACUCCGAAUACCGUAUUGCCGUAUCAUGGGAGUCAGACUACGGGGGAUAAGCUCCGUUGUCGAAAGGGAAACAGCCCAGACCGCCGGCUAAGGUCCCUAAUUCGAGCUAAGUGGAUUUAAGGAGGUGAAGCUGCAUAGACAGCCGGGAUGUUGGCUUAGAGGCAGCCAUCAUUUAAAGAGUGCGUAAUAGCUCACCGGUCGAGUGGUUUUGCGCCGAAGAUGAUCGGGACUAAGUUCGAAACCGAAGCCGCGGAUUCUACGUUUACGUAGAGUGGUAGGAAAGCGUUGUAUUAGCAUCGAAGCAGAAGGGGAACCGACUGUGGAGCUUAUACAAGUGACCAUGCAGGCAUGAGUAGCGAAAAGGAAGGUGAGAAUCCUUCCCACCGAAAGCCUAAGGUUUCCUGGGGCAGGUUCGUCCUCCCAGGGUUAGUCGGAUCCUAAGGCAAGGCCGAAAGGCGUAGUCGAUGGACAAUUGGUUAAUAUUCCAAUACCGUUGUGUGGAGUGAUGGAGGGACGCAGUAUGCUAGAUGGACUGGCCGAUGGGAUGCCAGGCGAAGGUCGUAGGGCGCUGGUGAGUCAAAUGCUUGCCGGCAUAAAGCCUGAAAACUGACAGGCCCACAAACCUUUUGGUGCGUGGGAACCAUUGAUGCUUUGCUGCCUAGAAAAGCUCCUAGCGUUGAAGCACAACGUCCGUACCGCAAACCGACACAGGUAGGCGAGGCGAGAAGCCUAAGGUGCGCGAGAGAAACCACGUUAAGGAACUCGGCAAAAUAGCCCCGUAACUUCGGGAGAAGGGGUGCUCACUUCGGUGAGUUGCAAUAAAGAGGCCCAGGCGACUGUUUAGCAAAAACAUAGCACUCUGCUAACUCGAUAAGAGGAUGUAUAGGGUGUGACACGUGACCAAUGCCGAAAGGUCAAAGGGAUGGGUGAGAGCUCUGAACUGAAGCCCCGGUGAAUGUCGGCCGUAACUAUAACGGUCCUAAGGUAGCGAAAUUCCUUGUCGGG